rnacentral:misc_RNA from 1 species
AAUGAACACCCCUUAACUAUCCAUUUUCAAUAAAUACAUCUCAGUAAUAACAGCAUAAUUUUCCAAGUCAGACAGCUGUGAAUGAAGUUCUUUCACAGCAAAUGUUACUUUGCCAGUGCACAGUUAGGUGCCAGAAAAGCCAAAAAGGCAGAUGAGUAAAUGAGCAAACAAUUGAAAAUAAAAACACUUUUUAAGCUUAUUGAUAAAAGAUGGCUUAUGAACCACUAAAGAUAUAAUGGCACAUGAUUAUCAAGAGAUCAAGCAUAUGAAUAGAUAAUUUCAAUGAGCUUAAUGUAAAAAAUUUAACAAUGAAAGUAGAGAUGACUUUGCUUAAAAAAUAAAGAAACGAGUCCCCUAGAAGGAAUAUGUCAAUAUGCUAUUAUUGCAUUAUAGCAAUCCCACAUUGAACUACGUAGACCAAGAUAUGCCCGAGGCAAAGAUUUUAACCAUCAAUGUCUGAAAUAAAGAGAGGGAUGGUCCUACAAUCCAAUGAAUCCAUAGAACUCCUUGCUCUAUGGUGACACUAAACUCCUCUCACAGGAGAUGAUGUCCAUCUCAGCCUAGUUGUCCAAGUACUAUCACUUAUCACGGAAAUGUCAAACAAUCCCAUACUUAUGAAAAAUUAUUGAUACUACAACCCCAAAAAUGGUAUUCACGGGUGAGUACCUGAGUAACCGACUUAUGGAAUCAUGAUUGGGGAGCCCGGAUACUGCCCGAGCAAUCUCACAUAGCUCGAGAUAUACCCUAUUACUCAGACAAAUCAUAUUAAGAUAAGGAUUUCCGAGAUACUUUCCAUACAGACUUCAAUGCUAUCUGGACUCUGAGUCCCAUUUUAACAUCAACUCCUAUUAGGAAUAGGAGU